rnacentral:snRNA from 1 species
GUCUUUGCGCAGUGGCAGUAUCAUAGCCAAUGAGGUCCAACAGAGGUGUGAUUAUUGCUAAUUGU